GAUGAAGAACGCAGCGAAAUGCGAUAAGUAAUGUGAAUUGCAGAAUUCAGUGAAUCAUCGAAUCUUUGAACGCACCUUGCGCCUUUUGGUAUUCCGAAAGGCACACCUGUUUGAGCGUCAUGAAUACCUCAAUCUCAAUCUUUUCUUCGGAUUGAUGGGUGACUUGGAUGUUGAGCCCUGCUGGUAUGCUAUAUCAGCUGGCUUUAAACUUAUUAGCCGGCUCUGUACUGGAUCGGUUUGACUCGACGUGAUAAUAUUAUCGUUGAGGAUGCAUGUCUCAUGCAGCCGGAAAGUAUCAAAGCAGCUUCUAGCUUGCCUUUAGUGCACUUUUACAUUUUAGACCUCAGAUCAGGUGGGACUACCCGCUGAACUUAAGCAUAUCAAUAAGCGGAGGA
rnacentral:misc_RNA from 1 species